ACGCUUAUUUUAAAAAUAGAGGAGAAAAUUAUUUUGGAAGGCAGAAGAGACUCUGAGAAGAAAUACACAUUUUGAGGAUCGUUAGGAGAUUCUUCUUGGUAAUGAUCGGACUAAAUUACAUAUGGUAACAUAAUUGUUUCUUCCGGGGAAAAAGACUGAUCUCAAAGAGCUUUCUUACAUUACAGUAAUGCCCUGAUUACAAAAGUCAAGGAGAUACAAAAUGCCGAAUACAAAUAUUAAGCAAAGUACAACAAUCCAAAUGUAAAUAAAAGUAAAAUAAUUAAAAAAACAAUAAACCUAUCAGGCAAUAGCUAGUUAAAACAAGAGCACUGUACCGUAAUCAUACCAUCAAAAAAACACUUGAAAUGAUCAACUGAUACAAAUAGUUUCAAUUUUAGACUAUACUGCAGAUUGUUCCAUUUUGCGUGUUAAAAACACAGAAAAAUAUUUUUUCUUUGCUCGUUCAAGUACUUUAAAAGAUAGCAUGUCGUCUUACCAGAUGCCCAAAUAUUUUUACUGGCUGACUCCCUCAAUUUCUGUCCCAUGAAGAGACUGUAUCUUAUGUAUAGUAGGGACAGGUUUUCUGGGUUUAGAAAAUAACAUGAAUUUAGACUUAGACUCAUUCAGUAUCAAUUUAAGCUCAUCCUCUCUUAAACUCGCCCCCCCACUAACUACCAAUGUGUCAAAACUCUCCCUGAUGUCAUUACCUCAUGUAUUGCUAUUUUGUGUAUGGCUGUUCAGAUAUUUCUGCACACAGUUAAAAGCACAUUGGAGGUUUGAUAAUGCUUGCUCAACUGUAGGUGCUGAGGCAUAUAAAAUUGUGUCGUCCGCAUAAAAAUGUACUUUACACUGUUCUAAGGAGGCACAGAUAUCAUUUAUGUCCAGUGUAAACAGUAGCGGGCCCAGGAUAGAACCUUGUGGUACACAAUUUUUUUACUCUAAGGCAUCAGAUAAUCGACCUGCAGCAUCAAUACACUGUGUCCUGUCAGCCAGUUUUCCAACAAGUAUAGUGUCGUUGAAAUUGUGUCAAAAGCUUUGGAUAAAUCAAUAAACACAGCAGCACAGUAUUGCCCAUGAUCAAAAGUGGCAGCUAUGUAUUUUACCACCAGCGUUUUUGCCAGUCGGCACUAUUGCAAGCUCUAAAGCCUGAUUGCUCAGGGC